CUAGAGCAAAGGAUAGGCAGCGCCCCACAGAAGCUUGCUUCGUGGCGGGCUACCCUACUUCGGUAGGGUUUAGAGUCGUCGAACCUCUCGAAGAAGUUCGGUCCUGAACUCCACCCUUGAAUAAAUUACCUUUGUUGCUUUGGCGGGUCGCCUCGUGCCAGCGGCUUCGGCUGUUGAGUGCCCGCCAGAGGACCACAACUCUUGUUUUUAGUGAUGUCUGAGUACUAUAUAAUAGUUAAAACUUUCAACAACGGAUCUCUUGGUUCUGGCAUCGAUGAAGAACGCAGCGAAAUGCGAUAAGUAAUGUGAAUUGCAGAAUUCAGUGAAUCAUCGAAUCUUUGAACGCACAUUGCGCCCUCUGGUAUUCCGGGGGGCAUGCCUGUUCGAGCGUCAUUAUAACCACUCAAGCUCUCGCUUGGUAUUGGGGUUCGCGGUUUCGCGGCCCCUAAAAUCAGUGGCGGUGCCUGUCGGCUCUACGCGUAGUAAUACUCCUCGCGAUUGAGUCCGGUAGGUUUACUUGCCAGCAACCCCCAAUUUUUACAG
rnacentral:misc_RNA from 1 species